UACGUAGGGGCCGAGCGUUGUCCGGAGUUAUUGGGCGUAAAGCGCGCGCAGGCGGCUUCGCGCGCCCGCCGUGAAAGCCCCCGGCUUAACCGGGGAGAGUCGGUGGGGACGGCGGAGCUUGAGGGCGGGAGAGGUCGGUGGAAUUCCCGGUGUAGUGGUGAAAUGCGCAGAUAUCAGGAGGAACACCGAUGGCGAAGGCAGGUCUCUGGGCCGAUACUGACGCUGAGGAGCGAAAGCGUGGGGAGCGAACAGG
rnacentral:rRNA from 1 species